CCCCAUAGCACCUGGUUUAGAUUGGUGCAAUCCAAGCUGUGGCUUGAAGUUAGUCCGGGGCUGUUUUGUGUAUCCUGGCCCUGUUUCAGGCCAGGCCUUUAACGAAGUCCUGCCCGCCCUCCCGCUGGCCCUGCUUUCAGUGACCCUGCAUAGGCCUGGCCUGGCGCUGCAGCACCCCGCUGGAUACAGGCAGCAGCACCAUUACCUUGGGCUAGCAUGUAAGAUUCCAAAGGUAUUGGUAUUGAAGUAAUGACUACCGGCCUCAGUCCCACAGAGCCUAAAGCUGUGGGAUAAAGAACCCUGAUCACCAACUUCCCUCCUCUGGCCCAAGGAACUCUGCACCGUAAGGGUAAAGCUCGUCUGUGCUGAUACCAGAACUUUCACAGGGCUGGCCUGAGAGCGGAAUGAGCCAUCACAAACCACCCACCUCCUGCUACGAGCACCUGGUGUGUUUGUCUUCUCCCACAACUCCAGGGCAUCGAUACUAAAACCUGCCAAACCAAGCCAUUCUCCGGCACAGGCUUCUCCUGGGGAGCGGAAGGGAGAACCACCGUGACAGAUGUUAAGCAACAUGACUGAUGCACAACUGCAAGGCACUCGUACCCUAGAGGCGGGAGCAGGGUAGAAGAACCACUAUGGAACAGAACUACUCUGUGCAGCACAACAGUAGUUUUGAGGGUUGCCUGCUGCUGCCUUGAAAUGUUUUCUUCUAGCAGAGACACGGCAGAGGGAGAGGAUGUCUGAGAGCAUCAGACCACAGCCAUGUAUGUGGAAAACAAGGGAAAAAGCAGGACCUCAGAGAAGCACUUGCUGCUUUCAUGGGCAGUGUGUUCAUCCACAACAGAGGCCAGUGUAUUACCUACAAAUGAGGCAGAAGGCAGGCAGCAAGGAACAGUUUCAGGGAGACUUAGCAGGUUCAUCUAGUUAUGUAGGGCCUCAUAACCCUGGCUCUUGUCCCGCAGCACAAAGGCUGGCACCGCUUCCCACAUGAGGAAAGCCCAAGCCCCCUUAGCGGAGGGGAGAAUUGCAGAAGGAUCAGUGCUGCACAACACGCCUGCUCCUCCACCACCACCACCCAAGCCCUGCAGGGAGCUGGUUCCAGUAACUAGAGCAAGGGAGACCAGGAAUCCCAAUUGCUGCUCUCGGGAGAAAGAUCUCACCUUGUGAAAGAUACCUCCCUUCUCACUGCAUCAGCAUCUGAAAGCGUCAGGAUUUCUAAGCCAUCCCACCUCCCCCGCCGUGAAACUUAAAGCUGCAAAACCACA